rnacentral:lncRNA from 1 species
ACAAGUUUCUGGGUGAUGUCAAUGCUGCUGCGCUGAGGACCCCACUUGAAGACCCGCUGGAUAAGGCCACUCACAGUGGAUGCUCUCUGACAACACAGUCAGCAGCUCCAGGACAGAGUGUUCCAAGUCCACCUGAGCCUGGGAGAUGGGAGAAAAGAGGAUCAGAGAGUUGAGCAAUUUGCUGAAAGCCACACAGGUAGUAAAGAAGCAGGAGUGGAGUU